rnacentral:misc_RNA from 1 species
AAGUCGUAACAAGGUCUCCGUAGGUGAACCUGCGGAGGGAUCAUUACCGAGUGAGGGCCCCCCGGCCCGACCUCCAACCCUUUGCAAACCGACCCGUUGCCUCGGGGGGACUCCGGCGUCUUCGGGGCGCCGGGCCCCCGGUGGACCCCCCGAACUCGCGUCUUUGCCGUCUGAGUCUUGAAUGUAAAUCAAUAAAAA